rnacentral:rRNA from 1 species
GAUGAACGCUAGCGGCAGGCUUAACACAUGCAAGUCGAGGGGCAGCACGGGUAGCAAUAUCUGGUGGCGACCGGCGCAAGGGUGCGUAACGCGUGAGCAACAUGCCCGUAUCAGGGGAAUAAUCCAGGGAAACUUGGUCUAAUACCCCAUAGUAAAUAUUAAAGGCAUCUUUAAUAUUUUAAAGCUUUGGUGGAUACGGAUUGGCUCGCGUGACAUUAGCUAGAUGGUAAGGUAACGGCUUACCAUGGCUACGAUGUCUAGGGGUUCUGAGAGGAAGAGCCCCCACACUGGAACUGGGACACGGUCCAGACUCCUACGGGAGGCAGCAGUGAGGAAUAUUGGACAAUGGAUGGAAAUCUGAUCCAGCCAUGCCGCGUGCAGGAAGACGGCCCUAUGGGUUGUAAACUGCUUUUAUAUGGGAGCAAUAAGGCCUACGUGUAGGUUGAUGAGAGUACCAUAUGAAUAAGCACCGGCUAACUCCGUGCCAGCAGCCGCCGUAACAC